AGCUAGGACUGCAGGGAGGGGUGUGAAGCCAGCCACACAGGCGGGGCCCUGGGAAACGCCACCCCAGUGACCAUUACCCCGUGGGCCUCCCUGGGUCUCCCCGCCAAGACCUGCAACAACGUGUCCUUCGAGGAGAGCAGGAUAGUCCUGGUCGUGGUGUACAGCGCAGUGUGCACGCUGGGGGUGCCGGCCAACUGCCUGACUGCGUGGCUGGCGCUGCUGCAGGUACUGCAGGGCAACGUGCUGGCCGUCUACCUGCUCUGCCUGGCACUCUGUGAGCUGCUGUACACGGGCACGCUGCCGCUCUGGGUCAUCUAUAUCCGCAACCAGCACCGCUGGACCCUGGGCCUGCUGGCCUGCAAGGUGACCGCCUACAUCUUCUUCUGCAACAUCUACGUCAGCAUCCUCUUCCUGUGCUGCAUCUCCUGUGACCGCUUCGUGGCCGUGGUGUACGCGCUGGAGAGCCGGGGCCACCGCCGCCAGAGGACCGCCAUCCUCAUCUCCGCCUGCAUCUUUAUCCUCGUCGGGAUCGUUCACUACCCAGU
rnacentral:sRNA from 1 species